GAUGAACGCUGGCGGCGUGCCUAAUACAUGCAAGUCGAGCGAAUGGAUUAAGAGCUUGCUCUUAUGAAGUUAGCGGCGGACGGGUGAGUAACACGUGGGUAACCUGCCCAUAAGACUGGGAUAACUCCGGGAAACCGGGGCUAAUACCGGAUAACAUUUUGAACCGCAUGGUUCGAAAUUGAAAGGCGGCUUCGGCUGUCACUUAUGGAUGGACCCGCGUCGCAUUAGCUAGUUGGUGAGGUAACGGCUCACCAAGGCAACGAUGCGUAGCCGACCUGAGAGGGUGACCGGCCACACUGGGAGUGAGACACGGCCCAGACUCCGACGGGAGGCAGCAGUAGGGAAUCUUCCGCAAUGGACGAAAGUCUGACGGAGCAACGCCGCGUGAGUGAUGAAGGCUUUCGGGUCGUAAAACUCUGUUGUUAGGGAAGAACAAGUGCUAGUUGAAUAAGCUGGCACCUUGACGGUACCUAACCAGAAAGCCACGGCUAACUACGUGCCAGCAGCCGCCGUAA
rnacentral:rRNA from 1 species